AAAGAAAUGAAAAACAUGAAUUGUGCAAAUUUACAUAAUUUUAAGCCAUUUCUAUAACUGCAACUUAUACAAAAAAUAGUUAUUUUGUUCUAUGUUUAUGUGGUAGCUAUGCAUCCCAUUUAAAAAAAACAAAAAAAAAACAAGUUCAGUAGUGAAGGAAUUUAAUCUUAGCUUGUGUACUAAUUUGUUGCAGGUUUCCUCUUAAAAUCAAUAUGUAACUGUACAAAUAUAAAAUUAUCAUGGUUGAAAUUGCUGUAGCAUAUUGCAAAGUGAGUUUAGCAUGUCUUUGAAUAGAAAAGCAUGCACAAACAGGCAUUAGGCACCUGUUCUCAUCGAUACAGGAGCCCAGGGAAUAGUUUUAAUGAGAAUCAUUUGAACUAAUCCUCUACAAGAGGUGUGCAGUAAAAUUUAAUUUCC